rfam:Gasterosteus aculeatus cont1.012212, whole genome shotgun sequence.
UUUAAAGUGUAAUGUAAGUCGCUUUGGAUAAAAGCGUCUGCUAAAUGACAUGUG